rnacentral:rRNA from 1 species
UACGUAGGGACCAAGCGUUGUUCGGAUUUACUGGGCGUAAAGGGCGCGUAGGCGGCGCGGUAAGUCACUUGUGAAAUCUCUGAGCUUAACUCAGAACGGCCAAGUGAUACUGCAGUGCUAGAGUGUGGAAGGGGCAAUCGGAAUUCUUGGUGUAGCGGCGAAAUGCGUAGAUAUCAAGAGGAACACCUGAGGUGAAGACGGGUUGCUGGGCCAACACUGACGCUGAGGCGCGAAAGCCAGGGGAGCAAACGGG